AGUCUCACUAAUUUGCUUAGGGCCUUACUAAACUGCUGAGGCUGGCUUUGAACUUUCAUCCUCCUGCCUCAGCCUCCAGAGCUACUGGGAUUACAGGGGUGCAUCACCACGCACAGUGCCAACUGGUUCUUACACAUCAGAAUCCUGGAAUCAGUUUAAAGAAACUGCGUAAGACUCCAGUUUUGUGACUUUCCACUGAAAGCAUGGGCCCCCAACUAACAGCACCCCCAACUCCCAAGUCAGAACCUGCUCUGUUUUUGUUUUUUGUUUUCCUUCAGUGCUAAAGAUGGAGCCCAGGGCCUCACACAUGCUGGGCUAGUGCUCAUUGAGUUAUAUUCCCACACCCCGCCCCCCAUCUUUUUUAGAGAUAGAACUCUACUAUGUUGCCCUGGCUGCUCUUGAACUUGGUAUCCCCCUGCCUCAGGCUCCCAAGCAACUGGGAUUGCAGAUGCAGCACCACUCCCACUUCAGAACCUGCAUUUCAACUGGAUUCCUAUUCAUAUUAAAGCAGAACUAUGGUCCAUCCCUAUCGAGAUUGGUUAGAAGAUACAAGAGAGGUAGAAAGGAGACAUUCCAGACAAGAGUGUGGUCAUAUCUAAAGUCCACAUUCAAAGUCUAACUUCACAUGAGUUAAAAGUCCAGAUUUAAAGGUCACCAACAGCACUAUUAAAUUGGUCGUUAGACCUCAUCCACAGGUACCCCCAUGUAGUCCUGUUUAAAUUCACAAAGCAGAAUGCAUCACAAACAAGAAAAGAAAAGAACCUCUCACUAAAGUCAUUUUCAACAUGUCAGCAAGUGACCGCUGUCCUGGUAAUGGACAACAUGUCCAGUUGCCAACACAAAGGAGAACCAAAAACAUCAUCUUAGAUCAUGCCCCUGUCCUAUCCAUCUUACGUGUGUAAAUAUGCACGUUCCUCUCCAAUGCCCGUGGUCUAUUCUGUGUCCCAGAGCGUGUACUUCUUUCCUUCUCUCAGUAAAUUCAAUCUCACUUUGAACCUUUUUGUGACUAGGUCAAGGAGCCUCAUGGUCUGAGUUGAGGCUCACCGCUGUUUUGGGGGUACCUCCUCAGGACCCUUGUCCCAGUGAUACCUUUCAGAUGCUGUAAUAUUGUGAUUUAAUAAGAAAUACCUAUUUGGUGGUUCCUGCAGCUGGUUCCUGGCCCACAGCUGAAGGUCAAGGAGGUCACGUGACCAGUGAUGUAAUCAAUCAUGCCUGCAUGACAAAGACUUACAAACACCUGAAAGGAUAGUGUUUGGGGAGCUACCACAGAUCAAAUGACGAUAGAGGAGUCCUUGAACCGACUAAGGGUCCCUGAGGUGGCGUGUCUGCCCAGAGACAGCAGGAAAUCUCCACGCCCUUUCUCUCUGCCUUGCCCUAUGCAUCUCUUCCAUCUGGCUCUUCAUCCAAAUCUUUCAUUAUAUCCUUAAUUAAUACAUCAGUAAAUACAAGUUAAUGCCUCUCUUAGUUCUAUGAGCCACUGUAGCAAAUGAAUUGAACUCAAGGAGGUCUUGGGAACCCUGAUUUCUAGCCUGUCAGGAACAUAGGUAAAACAAGCUGCAGCUUUUGAUGGAUAUCUGAAGGGAGCACCACCUGUGGGAUCUGAUUUGAAUCCAGAACUGAAUUGAAUCCAAGGAUAUCCAGAUAUAGUGUCCCUUGGAGAUUCUGAUGUCAGAUUUGUUUGAUAAGAAAGAGGAAAACCUACUGAUCUGGUAUCAGAAGCAUUUUGUUGUAUGAGAAUAGGGGAAAAAACACCUUAAUUUUUUUCCCAUCUCUAAUAGAUGCUUUACAUUGGAGUUCAGGCUAGAGGACCAAUGGCCUAAGUCUGUUGGGAGUCCAUGCACAAUGGAGACUCGCUCCCACAGGGAGAAAAACUUGUCUUGAAAGAAGAUGGAAGGCAUAUACAUUCAACAAGUGACUUAGCUCCUCUAUGCACUGCAAUAAAACGACAAAAUCAAUAUAAGAUCCCUCCAGGAACACACAGGGGUGGGGAGAAGAUGGAGAAGUCAAGAGAGGUGGCCGUGUUAAUUGACAGCCUUUGGAUAAUGGCAUGGGCCGCCCAGGGGGCCGCCAUCUCCAAUGCUGGCACCGGGCAUGGGAGCUUCCUAGAGAAAAUGAUGUCACAGCUGAACCAGAAGGAUGAGUAGGAUUCAGUCCAAAGAAGGGGGAGAAAGUGGGUGAGGCUAAAGGAAAGUAUGCCAGGCAGAGAGCCGUGUUUACACAGCCUCCCCAGUGCGUAUGGCAGUGUGCGGAGCCGCGAGAUGGAGGCGAAGGAUGUGGCUGGGAAAGAAGGCAGAAUUCUGAUCAUCGAGGGCCUGGGGGAACAUAAGAAGGAGAAGAGGAUCCAUUUUUAGGGAUAGUUUGAACUUUGAUGGAGGCCAACGCUUGAGAAAAGGAACUCUUUGGGAAUGAACCCCUGUGUGCCUCCCAGUUGUCUCCCUGUCAGUUUCCACAGCCGCCUGCCUGACGGAGAGGGAAGGUUUCUAAAGAGGGAAAACUCAAGGAGCUAUUUGCUGGCACCCCUGAGGAACUUUGGGAGCACAGAUUAUUCUGAGCUGUCUUUGAGCUCAGUCAUCCUUUGCUCUCAGAAGACCAGACAGGAGCCAGAUGAGAAAGAGCUAGAGAUGCUUUGUCAGCUUCUUACUGUUCAGGCCACCAGGAAGAGAGAGAGGACAGCCGGUCCCUCUGAGAUCAAACUCCAGAAACUGCCGCACUGGUACAUUUUGUGCUCACAACAACUGAACUGGUUAAACAACUGCCUGACCCUGGGAUUGCUGGCCGGGAGCCCAGGCCCAGCUGCUCAUGGGAAGAUCUAGCUAAAGCCAAGUGGAGAUGGAGGCGUUGCCUCUGAGUCCUUUCUGAUGCAGGUUUGGAUGAAGGCUCACACACAUGACCACAUUCGUCCCUUGAUCCAGUGGCUCUCAGCCUGGCUGCCCAACAGGACCUUGGCAGUGCUCUCAAUUGCCCAAGUGGGAGCCAAAAGCACAUGCAGCAGCUCCCUGGGGGAAGACCACCGCAGCGGUGCACAACCGAGGCUGAAAAUGACCUGCCUGCAUAACAUGAAGGGUCCACUUCAUGCUUGGGACAUAACCCUGGCUACUCUGCCACUGCAGCUUGUUUUAAAAUGGACAUGGGGGGGCUGUGGUUGUGGCUCAGCAGUAGAGCGCUCACCUAGCAUGUGCAAGGCCCUGGGUUCGGUCCUCAG